rnacentral:rRNA from 1 species
CCUACGGGGGGCAGCAGUGGGGGAUAUUGGACAAUGGGGGGAACCCUGAUCCAGCGACGCCGCGUGAGUGAAGAAGUAUUUCGGGAGGUAAAGCUCUGUCAGCCGGGAAGAAAGAAAUGACGGUACCUGACCAAGAAGCCCCGGCUAACUACGGGCCAGCAGCCGCGGGAAUACGUAGGGGGCAAGCGUUAUCCGGAAUUACUGGGUGUAAAGUGAGCGUAGACGGUUAAGUAAGUCUGGAGUGAAAGGCCGGGGCGCAACCCCGGGACUGCUCUGGAAACUAUUUAACUUGAGUGCAGGAGAGGUAAGCGGAAUUCCUGGUGUAGCGGUGAAAUGCGUAGAUAUUAGGAGGAACACCAGUGGCGAAGGCGGCUUACUGGACUGUAACUGACGUUGAGGCUCGAAAGCGUGGGGAGCAAACAGGAUUAGAUACCCUGGUAGUC